UACGUAGGUGGCGAGCGUUGUCCGGAUUUACUGGGCGUAAAGCGCGCGCAGGCGGUCGUUCAAGUCGAAUGUGAAAGCCCCCGGCUCAACUGGGGAGGGUCAUUCGAUACUGAUCGACUUGAAGGCAGGAGAGGGAAGCGGAAUUCCGAGUGUAGAGGUGAAAUUCGUAGAUAUUCGGAAGAACACCAGUGGCGAAGGCGACUUACUGGACACAUAUUGACGCUGAGGUGCGAAAGCGUGGGGAGCAAACAGG
rnacentral:rRNA from 1 species